CCCCAAAUGUUACUACUUCUCACACUCAAGCAUUUAUUUUAUUAUUAAAAGAAAAAGUUUGUUUUAAAGCCAAUCUUUUGCUAAAGAAAACACUUUAACUUCUGUUUCUUAAAAAAAAACUUUAUUACUCCCACAACUCACCCCCCAGACGAAUGGCCUACCUUUAACCGCCUCAAAAUCCGACUAUGGCGAACGGAGUCGAGCCAUCAGCUGUCGUGAGCGUGAUGCAACUCCGGUAAGUCUCCUCCUUUCUCUUAUAUCUUAGUAUAUUUGAUGAAAAUAGAAAAAAAGAAAAACGAAAUCAAAUAGCAAUCACCACCUUUGAAUAUCUCUUGGUUGCUUUUUAUUGAUUUUUUUGAAUGUAUUUUGUAUACAACUUGUGUUCUAUCUCUUUGAGAAAAAUGAAAAAGAAAAGAAAAACCACCCCCUUACAAUUAAAAAAAUGGAAGGCUUUAUAGCCUAUAUAAACGGUUCCUUGCUAUUCUCCAUUUUGCAGGUACGUGGAGACGUAAAGACUGCGUUCAUGAGCGUGUCAACGUGAAAUAUGGAAGGUGGAAGCGUGGGCUGAAGUAAUGGCGCGCGUAGAGGCUGGCUCGAAGGCAGCAGCAGCGCAAGGGGGAAAGGGAAUGGGUUCUGAAAACUCCAAAAACCUGGGCCUACUGGCUUCGGUUCAUUUCAUUUAGUAUUAGGCCAUUGUAAAACUUUUUGGGCCUGUUUAAUUUGGGUUUAAUGCAAGGCCGGGCAAAAUAUGGGUUUUACAAUCAAUUUUUUUUUAAAUUAAAUUAUUAUUUCUAAUAAAAAUGCUGCCUAAAAUGUUAAAUCUUACGUAUGACAGUUUAUAUGUAUUUCAUGCUAAUAUGUUACUAUUUAUCUUAUAUGUUACGUCAAUAAAUAAUUAAAAAAUAUAAAAGAACACCAUGAAAUACAAGUAGAUUGUCACACAAUCAAUCACAUUUAAAAUUUUAAUAUUUUAGACAGUAUUUUUGUGAAAAAAAAUCAUUUCAAUUUUUUCAAAAGAUUGACAUUCAAAUUUGAUUAUUUUUAAAAGGUUGGGGUCAAAUUUAACUAAAUAAUAAUAAUUAGGACUGAGUUGACUAAAAUACAAGUAUUAAAGGACUAAAUUUGACAUUGUGACUUAUGAAAAUAAAAUUUAAUAUUUUAAAACUAAAUUUAUACAAUAUAUAAUAUUAUAAUUGAAUGCUAAAAAAUAUUAUACAGUUUUAUACCCAAAUAAAGUCAGG
rnacentral:lncRNA from 1 species